rnacentral:tRNA from 1 species
AUUUGAGAAUCUAAUUUAGAGAUAGUCUGUAAAUCUAUUAUUUGGAAAGCCUUUUUCCCUCAAAAC